GACGAACGCUGGCGGCGUGCCUAAUACAUGCAAGUAGAACGCUGAAGGAGGAGCUUGCUUCUCUGGAUGAGUUGCGAACGGGUGAGUAACGCGUAGGUAACCUGCCUGGUAGCGGGGGAUAACUAUUGGAAACGAUAGCUAAUACCGCAUAAUAGUAGAUGUUGCAUGACAUUUGCUUAAAAGGUGCAAUUGCAUCACUACCAGAUGGACCUGCGUUGUAUUAGCUAGUUGGUGAGGUAACGGCUCACCAAGGCGACGAUACAUAGCCGACCUGGGAGGGGGAGCGGCCACACUGGGAAUGGGACACGGCCCAGACGCCUAAGGGAGGCAGCAGUAGGGAAUCUUCGGCAAUGGACGGAAGGCUGACCGAGCAACGCCGCGGGAGUGAAGAAGGUUUUCGGAUCGGAAAGCUCGGUUGUAAGAGAAGAACGAGUGUGAGAGUGGAAAGUUCACACUGUGACGGUAUCUUACCAGAAAGGGACGGCUAACUACGUG
rnacentral:rRNA from 1 species